CCCGGCGUGGCCCCGUCGGGGGAGAUCCCCAGGGCACAAAGGGCUCUUUCUUCAAGCACUUACCGGGAGAUUUUUCAAAGGAUUAGAGAAGUUAGAUAAAUUACCGUCUGUGCGGCUGGCCGGUGCCUCUGUUCCUCAGAAGUCUGAUAUUAAUAAUCCCCGUAUGCCCCUCUUUCCGGGUCAUUACGGUACUGCUGGUCUCUAAUCAAUCCUAAUGCGAUGGCAAUUGGAGUCUCUGAUGAAUGCAUCUCAGGUUUCUUGUAAUGGCUCUACCACAUUUUCCUGGACCUCCUUCUUUAACCUGAGAUGCCAGGGGGACGUCUCCGUUCUCAGCUGCUGAUUACUUCAAGAUGUUUGGGCUGGUGUGGGGAGAGAGGGAGCGAGCGAGGCAGUCUGCCCCUGAAUAAUCUGAAACUGAAUUGGAUGAGCCGUUUCUUAAAUCAAAGGACCACGGCGGGGUUUAACUCCUUUUCUGCACGGAAGCUGCCGUCCUGCCUUCCAGCCGGCACCGGCUCCGCGCCAUCUCCCCUGCGUGUCCUUGUCCGUGUGCGGGACACGACCCCCGGCUCCCACACCCCGGAAUCUGAGGCUCCCCCCAUCACUUGAGGUGCCCCCCCACGCAAAGGGGGACCCCCUACCCACCCCCAGCCCCAGCUCUUCACACCUUCCCAAACCCCACCAGUGCCACCGGGCGUGUGCGCUCCCCCCAUGCCCGGGGGGUGGGAGCCCCACGUCGGGGUGAGGGGGGGGGGGGGGGUUGGGAGCCCCCCCCCACGGGUGCGCAGGGGCCGUGCAGCAGCAGCGCGUUAUUAGCAAGGCGAUUCGCGUUUUCACGGCCGUUGUUUUCCUCCCAUUUCUCAGCAUCGUGGCAUUUGCAGUAACCCGAGACAACGAUAA